GAUGCCCAUUUGUCCUGCAUCACUAAAACAAUGAAAACAACAAAACUCAGAUCUAAUAAUCACGAGCGUCUCUCUUCUAUCGAACAAGUUAUUCUUUCUUAACUCCAGAAGCUUGGACCACCGUUCAGCUACAUUUCCAUUUGGCGGUUGCGGUUAUGCUUUAUCUUCUCCGUCUUCGUCUUCAUUAAAGACUGUUAUAAUUGUGGCGAAGAGCAGCAAAAAGUCCCCGAAUUCUUCCCCAAAGGUUUGCCCUAUUAGAAAAAUGAAUGAAUUUAUGAAUUAAAGGCAAUUCCUUUAGCAGAUUCUACACUUUUUCUUUAAGGGCUUGUUCAGUGAAGUUAAUUUAGUUACUAGAAAGGCUGGAAAUGGAGUUGGGGAAUUAGUCUAGACGCAGUUAUAAUGUGGUCAUAGCAAGGGAAAUUGAACGAAGCGAAUAGUUUGUCGGAAUGGAUGAUUCAAAAAAGUGUGUAUGCUGAUGUUUAUACUCACAACAUUUCAAUGAAUGAUUAUUGCUUGGCAGAUAAAAUUGGUGAUACAAGAAGUUGUUUGAUUCUAUAACUAGACAAGGGGUAUUGACCUGAUGUUGUCUGCUAGUUAUACCCCUUUCUAGUUAUAUAUUCAAACAACUCCUUUGCAUCACCAAUUCUAUCUGCCAAGCAAUAACCAUUCAUUAAAAUGUUGUAAGUAUAAACGUCGGGAUCCACACUUCUUUGAAUCAGCAAUUCCGACAACCUAUUUGCUUCGUGCAAUUUCCCUUUCUGCAAAGUUCAUCUAUGACCACAUUAUAAGUAACUGUCUGGACUAACUCCUGAACUCUUCAUUUCCAAAUUUCGGCGAUUCUUCCACUAAAGAUACGAACGGAAAAUAGAGAUAUAGAUUUUUUUUUUACAAAAAGUUAGCGUGGAUCCUGAAGCGGCAAAACUUAAGAGAGAACUAGAGUCUUAUAAGACGAGAUGGUUCUACUUUAGCCUUCUUUAAUUCGCUGUGUGUGUUGAGGAAAGAGAGAUUAAUGAUCAUAACACAGGCAGAGGAAAUUUCUGAUUCUUCA